rnacentral:lncRNA from 1 species
CGGGGGUGGGAUGCCGAUCCAAAGCAUGUAAACAGACAAGGAAGAUAAUUCCAGGCGAGCGCUCUGCAGAAAAUAAAACUCGGCUGGGGCUGUUCGGAUGGCCAGGGAGGUGACGUUUGUGCAGAGACACUACUGGCAAAGAGGGGCCUGACCUUGGCCAGUCCCUGGGCCACUGGAGUUUCUCUCUGCCCGGCCCCUGGCCUUCUAAAGGUGCUGUAAAAGUCAGCACCCCAAAACCUACACACAUCCUGAGAAGCAAGGAGGAGGGUCUUGGGGAGACCCUGCUGCGGGCUGAGGCCCUGAGAUGGGGUUCCUGCCCAGCCUUCUUCUGGUUACAGCAGCCACCUCUGCCUCCUUGGCUCCCAGAUGUGUCCCACAUUGAAGAAUUAUCUCUCCUCCCUAGAGUGAAAUAAAUGCAAUCAAU